rnacentral:rRNA from 1 species
ACGAACGCUGGCGGCGUGCUUAACACAUGCAAGUCGAACGGAAAGGCCCUGCUUUUGUGGGGUGCUCGAGUGGCGAACGGGUGAGUAACACGUGAGUAACCUGCCCUUGACUUUGGGAUAACUUCAGGAAACUGGGGCUAAUACCGGAUAGGAGCUCCUGCUGCAUGGUGGGGGUUGGAAAGUUUCGGCGGUUGGGGAUAGACUCGCGGCUUAUCAGCUUGUUGGUGGGGUAGUGGCUUACCAAGGCUUUGACGGGUAGCCGGCCUGAGAGGGUGACCGGCCACAUUGGGACUGAGAUACGGCCCAGACUCCUACGGGAGGCAGCAGUGGGGAAUAUUGCACAAUGGGCGGAAGCCUGAUGCAGCAACGCCGCGUGCGGGAUGACGGCCUUCGGGUUGUAAACCGCUUUCGCCUGUGACGAAGCGUGAGUGACGGUAAUGGGUAAAGAAGCACCGGCUAACUACGUG